AAGAAAGAAAGAAAGAAAGAAAGAAAGAAAGAAAGAAAGAAAGAAAGAAGAAAGAAAGAAAGAAAGAGAUGUAAGGAUGGAUUCUUUUGAAUUUGGUUUAGUUUAGUUUCACAGAAACUGAAGUUGUGGAUGGGUGAGAGACAAUUAUCGCUCUUGCUCUUUUCUCUCUUUCUCUGUCUCUCUCUCUCUCUCUCUCUCUAUUCCUGAGAGUGGCAAACUGGAGGGGAACCCCAGAUUAUCUGCUAGAGAGAGAGCGGGGGCAGAGAAAAAGAGGAGGAAGAAGAGGGAAACAGACAGAGACAGUGAGAGUCAUAGAGAAUGAGAAGGGGACCUUUCAAACCUGGUAAGAGGCUCCCAGACGUCAGGAGGAAAUGCUCCGAGAGGGUGUCAGAGCAGUCCUGAGUGUACCAAGCCACAGUCACCAGGGUGGCCAUGCUCACAAUAGCACUGUGCUGUCAGCCGCCCUGCUGACCUUCAACUACCACUAGACAUCAGCUAUCCUAGUUCUAACAUCUGUCUACAGAAUGGACCCAAUGAUCAUAUGAGGAAUGACGACCAAGAUGAAGGCAAUGCAAUUUCAUCAACGUGGAUCCUUUAUCUAUAUCUGCAGCCCAUUCCCUCUAUCUA